GUAACAGGAAGCAGCUUGCUGCUUCGCUGACGAGUGGCGGACGGGUGAGUAAUGUCUGGGAAACUGCCUGAUGGAGGGGGAUAACUACUGGAAACGGUAGCUAAUACCGCAUAACGUCGCAAGACCAAAGAGGGGGACCUUCGGGCCUCUUGCCAUCGGAUGUGCCCAGAUGGGAUUAGCUAGUAGGUGGGGUAACGGCUCACCUAGGCGACGAUCCCUAGCUGGUCUGAGAGGAUGACCAGCCACACUGGAACUGAGACACGGUCCAGACUCCUACGGGAGGCAGCAGUGGGGAAUAUUGCACAAUGGGCGCAAGCCUGAUGCAGCCAUGCCGCGUGUAUGAAGAAGGCCUUCGGGUUGUAAAGUACUUUCAGCGGGGAGGAAGGCGACAGGGUUAAUAACCCUGUCGAUUGACGUUACCCGCAGAAGAAGCACCGGCUAACUCCGUGCCAGCAGCCGCGGUAAUACGGAGGGUGCAAGCGUUAAUCGGAAUUACUGGGCGUAAAGCGCACGCAGGCGGUCUGUCAAGUCGGAUGUGAAAUCCCCGGGCUCAACCUGGGAACUGCAUUCGAAACUGGCAGGCUAGAGUCUUGUAGAGGGGGGUAGAAUUCCAGGUGUAGCGGUGAAAUGCGUAGAGAUCUGGAGGAAUACCGGUGGCGAAGGC
rnacentral:rRNA from 1 species